rnacentral:rRNA from 1 species
ACGCCUAAUACAUGCAAGUCGAACGGGGUAGCAAUACCUAGUGGCAGACGGGUGAGUAACAUGUGGGUAUCUUCCCUUUGGUGAGGAAUAACACGAGGAAACUUGUGCUAAUACCUCAUAAGUCUUUACGGAGAAAGCUUUAUGCGCCAAUGGAUGAGCCUGCACUUGAUUAGUUAGUUGGUGGGGUAAAAGCCUACCAAGACUUUGAUCAAUAGCUGAUUUGAGAGGAUGAUCAGCCACAUUGGGACUGAGACACGGCCCAAACUCCUACGGGAGGCAGCAGUAGGGAAUCUUGCACAAUGGAGGAAACUCUGAUGCAGCGAUGCCGCGUGAGUGAAGAAGGCCUUUGGGUUGUAAAGCUCUUUCGUCGGGGAAGAAAAUGACUGUACCCGAAUAAGAAGGUCCGGCUAACUUCGUGCCAGCAGCCGCGGUAAUACGAAGGGACCUAGCGUAGUUCGGAAUUACUGGGCUUAAAGAGUUCGUAGGUGGUUAAAAAAGUUGGUGGUGAAAUCCCAGAGCUUAACUCUGGAACUGCCAUCAAAACUUUUUAGCUAGAGUAUGAUAGAGGAAAGCAGAAUUUCUAGUGUAGAGGUGAAAUUCGUAGAUAUUAGAAAGAAUACCGAUUGCGAAGGCAGCUUUCUGGAUCAUUACUGACACUGAGGAACGAAAGCAUGGGUAGCGAAGAGGAUUAGAUACCCUCGUAGUCCAUGCCGUAAACGAUGUGUGUUAGAUGUUGGAAAUUUUUUUUCAGUAUCGCAGCGAAAGCGUUAAACACACCGCCUGGGGAGUACG